rnacentral:snoRNA from 1 species
UGGCGAUGAUGAAAAAAAGGCCGGACUUACGGCUGCUACUAAACAGUUUGGUAGUAGAUUGAUGAUAUUUUUCCAAAAGGUGUUUUACUUUGGAGCCUA